GGAGUUAGCCGGUGCUUCUUCUGUGAGUGAUGUCCUUCCUGCCGGCUAUUAACCCGCAGGCCUUCUUCCUCACUGAAAGUGCUUUACAACCCGAAGGCCUUCUUCACACACGCGGCAUGGCUGGAUCAGGGUUGCCCCCAUUGUCCAAUAUUCCCCACUGCUGCCUCCCGUAGGAGUCUGGGCCGUGUCUCAGUCCCAGUGUGGCUGAUCAUCCUCUCAGACCAGCUACGGAUCGUCGCCUUGGUGAGCCGUUACCUCACCAACCAGCUAAUCCGACAUAGGCUCAUCCGAUAGCGCGAGGCCCGAAGGUCCCCCGCUUUCCCCCGUAGGGCGUAUGCGGUAUUAGCCUGGGUUUCCCCAGGUUAUCCCCCACUACCGGGCAGAUUCCUAUGCAUUACUCACCCGUCCGCCGCUCGCCACCAGGGAGCAAGCUCCCCGUGCUGCCGCUCGACUUGCAUGUGUUAGGCCUGCCGCCAGCGUUCAAUCUGACACGAUACAAUACUGUACUGUAGCGGCGUGGCGACGACGGCGACUAG
rnacentral:rRNA from 1 species